rnacentral:lncRNA from 1 species
UCAGGUUUAUUUAAUAAUCUCUAGUUGCUCUCUACUGCUUCCCUAGAGAAUGGGAAUUAACAUGCCCCUCGAGAGGACAGGGUUAACAAAGUAUAAAAGCUGAAAAGGGCACUGAGCCCGUGGCUUCCCUAAGUUUAGGUAGUUCACAUCCAUUCAGUAUCAUCUCUAGCGGCACUUUACAUGCUAAGUGGAGAAUGACAAGGCAUUUGAAAAUAGCCUAGGAGUCAAGAGAUCUUUUCUUGAAAGUUGGUGUACCUGGUGAUUUGCCUAUCCUAUACUUUUUUUUUUUCUUUCCCUAAAGACCAAAUAAGCAUGAUACUAGGUAAAGUCAGCUGUAUUGCAUCACUUUGAAUGUCACAUUACUGUCCUUGGUGAGCAGAGCAAACAGUCAGAAUGUAGGGUGGGCACAAAAAAACAAUAAACAAAAAAUGAAUAUAUGUUAGUACUAAGUGCUAAAAAGAAUUAAAGCUGGGAAAGGGGAUAUGGAAAGUCACAGUAGGACCCUGAACUUUUAGAAAGCAUCAAUAGCAAAAGCUUCACUUCUUACUAAAGACAUGAAAACAAUUGCAGUCUAAACUACUUGGGGCUGGGGUGGAUUUUAAUCUGGAAAAAACACAAUAAAAAAUGCAAAGGCCUUCAAGAGGAGGUGUGUCUCUUGCUUUGGCUAUUUCUGCUGUUUUUACCUGUUCCAAUUGAGUCAACAGAUAAGUCUUCAAGCCACUGAAAUUAAAGGAUGUUUUCCUUUUUUAUUUAUGAAACUUUAUAAAGAUUCAGAGAAAACCAUAUUUUCUCUUUUUUAUUUUUUAAAGGCUGCACCAACACUAUGUGGAAGUUCCUGGACCAGGGAUUGAAUCUGAGCCUCAGCUGUGACCUACUCAGCAGCUGCUGCAACACUAGAUUCUUUAACUCACUGCCCCAGAGAUCUAAGCUGCAACUCCACAGCAUCCUGAGCUACUGCAGUCAGAUUCUUAAUCCACUACACCACAGUGGAUCAGCGGAUUAACAACCUCAGUUCCUGUAAUUUUCGAAUUUCACACUAGACAUAUGUCUUAGUUACUCAGUUCUGAAGGUAUACGACAUGGUUGUGACUCAACAAUGAAAGCUUUUACAUCAUUUUCAAAACACUUGCAAAUACUAUGCACGAAGAAUUUAUCUAUAAAACAAUUAUUUUCUCUUCAAAAGUAGCAUCAUACUCGUCCAUGUUCAUAACAUUUUAAAGCCUUUCUUGCCCACCUGUUAUACAUCAAGUAAUGAAAUUUAAAAUGUACUGGCAUAUCUGAAAAAAAGUAUUGACUCUAGAAACCUUUUUUAAAUCCCGAAGAUAAAGGACACUUGAGUUAGCUUCUCAGUUAUUUGUGUGAUCCAGAUACUGGCAUCACAUAGCCAAGUUGUUGGAGCAACUUUGCUCCUCACUCUCUUCAGUGAUCUCUCUAAUCAAACCAAGGAAAAGAAAAAGAUUCACUGAAUAAUGGCACAUUUCAUUGAGAAUAAUUUAAUUUCAUUUAUCCUUGACUGGCUUACUCUAUGUCUCUUCUGAUAUUUUGCUAUUAGACAUUAUAUUUGCUUCCUAUUGCUGCUAUAACAAGCUGCCAUUAACUUCGGGUUUUAGAACAACAAAAAUUUAUCAUCUUACCGUUCUGAAGAUCAGAAGUCUAAAACAAGUUUCGCCAGGCUAAAAUCCAGGUGUUGCCAGGGCUCUGUUCCUUUCUGGAGGUUCUUGGGGGGAAAUCUUUUUUCUAGCUUUUCCCACUUUGUAGAGGCUGCCUGCACUCCUUGGCUCAUGACACUAUUUCUCCAUUGCCAAAGCUAGAAAGCACAGAAUGAGUCUUUCUUGCAGCCAUUUCUGUGGUUCUCACUCUCCUGCCUUCUUCCUGUGUUUACGGAGACCCUUGUGAUUACAAUGAUCCCACCUGAGUAACUUGGGAUACGCUCUCUCCAUCUCAAGAUCAGCGGAUUAACAACCUCAAUUCACCUGUAACCUUAAUUCUCCUUUGCCCUGUAAGGUACCAUAGUCACAGGUUCUAGGAUUUAGAAUGUGGAUAUCUUUUGGGGACAAUUCUUCUGACUACCACUGCCACAAUGAUUCAAUUAGUAUUUAAUAAAGUAAAAUAAUAAGGCUGCAUUUUAAUCUGAUAGGUACAUGGGUUUUCUGUGGAAGACAGAAGUCUUUUACUUUUCUUACAGAUUUCUCUCUUAGUCAAUCCACUUGGUGUUACUUAGCUAAUGUUUUCCUUCUUCCUAAGCAGUGUUAUGACCUUCUUGUAGGCACUCCACAAAAGCACAUUUAAUUAUUUAAGUACAUUUCCUUCCUUCAAAGAGACUGCAUACUUUUCAGCAAAAGAGCUGCUAGUUUUCUGGCAUGAGUUAAAUUGCUUGACCAUGACACCUGGGUACUGAGCCCCUGGCUUUGGAUCCCACUUAAUCGACAGGUCAAAUCUUAACAUGUAUAAAUGUAUAAUAAUCACAUUAAAACUUUUUUUAAAAAGAAAUUUUAGAAACUGAUUUAUCUUACUCCAUAAAACCUGUAUUAUUUUCUCUGAAAUGCUAGGAAUUUAUGACUGUUUUUAUUGGUCCUCAGAAUACACCCUCCACAAACAACACUUAAGAAUAAACAACAACUUCAAGACCUAAAGAGAGCAUAAAAUAUUUAAUUAUAUAGGUGUCCUAGAAGUAUAAAAGGAAGUAGCAGGACAUGAAUCUGGAUUUUGCAGUUUCAUUAUUUGUACCACAAAAAAUAUGUUAUAGGAAACUGGGGAUGCUUUGAAUAUGCUCUUGUUUUGUUUUCUUAAACAAAAGUCAUUUUGGUUUAUUUGUCUCAUCCUUGUGCUGACCCAAUGCCUAUGACACUUGAGUGAAAAUAGAGUAGCCUUUAUAGGGUGAAGUCAGAGGACAAGAAUCAAUAGCUGUCUGAAAUGUAAAUCAUCAAAGAGAUUCCAUACCAACGAUAAGAAAGGAGAAGGUGAAGGACUUAGUUAUUUUUAAUCGUCUGUUUUAAAUAAGCAGUUAUUAGUGUUGCAACAUGAAAACCUCAUUUUCAAAAAUUUGAGAAGAGAUCAGAUGAUGGCCUGGGUAAAUGCUAUUGAAUUUCUCAACUACUGAAUAAUUUUAAACAGAACAAAAUCCUUUUGCUUAACACAAUUAUGAAGUAUUUCUCCAGAUUUAUUUCAAAUUACUCAACAGAUUUUUCACAUGAGUAUCUCAAAAAAUUCCAUCAGCGGCUUUUGUAAAGCCAACCAAACAAAAUAAAAUGCAUUUCUUUGUAGUGUUCCUGUUUGUCAAAGACAGAAUUUGUAUUAAUAAUUUUUUCUUAAUUUCACUUCAGAGACCUCACAAAGGUAAUGUGUAGAAUAUUUUAUAGAAGAGAAACAUAAAACAUCUUAAGAGGACUUAAGGGUACAGAAUGGGAUAGGUCAGUUGAGGUUAGGGAUGCUUUCUCUGGAUUCUUAAAAAACAUCCAGAACUCUGCUUUUAUUAUUUAUUUAUUUGCUUUUUAGGGCUGCACCCUUGGCAUAUGGAGGUUACCAGGCUAGGGGUCGAAUUGUAGCUACAGCUGCUGACCUAUGUCACAGCCACAGAAACGCAGGAUCUGAGCUGUACCUGUGAUCUACACCACAGCUCAUGGCAACACUGGAUCCCUGACCCACUGAGUAAGUCCAGGGAUCGAACCCACAUCCUCAUGGAUACUAGUUAGAUUCAUUUCUUCUACACUGUGAUGGGAACUCCCCAGAACUCUGCUUUUAAAGAUGAGAUUUGAUCUUGAACUGCUGUCCCUUCAGUGAUCCAUUCAGCAUGCAUUUAUGCCCUCUCUAAGGAGGUACUAUGAAAAAUUAAAGAGUUCCCCAUUUUAGAAGUUCAGAGUUCCAUGAGGAAAGAAAGAAAUGUAACCAAAAAUUAGAUAAGAAUCUUGCAAAUAACAGAAUGGAAGAGGGAGCACAGAUACCAGGCAACUCAGAGGAACAAAUGGUAAUACUUUCGGCCUGCAUGACUCAAGGUAAACUUACAACAGAAAUUACUGUGGAAAUUUCUUCCUCCACCCC